rnacentral:rRNA from 1 species
UUCCCCUUCGGGGGACAGAGUGACAGGUGGUGCAUGGUUGUCGUCAGCUCGUGUCGUGAGAUGUUGGGUUAAGUCCCGCAACGAGCGCAACCCUUGAUCUUAGUUGCCAGCAUUCAGUUGGGCACUCUAAGGUGACUGCCGGUGACAAACCGGAGGAAGGUGGGGAUGACGUCAAAUCAUCAUGCCCCUUAUGACCUGGGCUACACACGUGCUACAAUGGAUGGUACAAAGGGCUGCAAAACCGCAAGGUCUAGCCAAUCCCAUAAAACCAUUCUCAGUUCGGAUUGUAGGCUGCAACUCGCCUACAUGAAGCCGGAAUCGCUAGUAAUCGCGGAUCAGCAUGCCGCGGUGAAUACGUUCCCGGGCCUUGUACACACCGCCCGUCACACCACGAGAGUUUGUAACACCCGAAGUCGGUGGGGUAACC